UUACAGGGGUGCCGAGGAAUCGGCUGAGAUCAUACCCUUUGACCUGAUCCGGGUAAUGCCGGCGUAGGAAGAGAUUU
rnacentral:ncRNA from 1 species